rnacentral:lncRNA from 1 species
GAAAAAAAUGUCUUAGGUAAUUCUGCCAGUCUUUUCUCAUUACAAAAAUCAGUAUAUAAACAUGUCAAAUGUAAACACAAUAUUUUUAGAAGAAAUAAAGACAAAAGUAUUAUGUACUUAGGGGAUUCUUGUGAUAUUUGGAGUAAUUAUUAUCUGACCAGUACUUUAAUGUUUUCUGCUGAAGAUGAAGGAAUGGGGUACUUCAUUUAGCUUUUUCAUUUGCUAGCUCAACUUGCUAGUUACAUAAAAAGGGAAACUACCAGUUAGGUAAUUUAGAUCAACACUUUGAUUUUUUUUUUCCCCUUUUCGAGGUUCCUGAGCAGAAGGGAAAAUGAGGCUUGAAGAUUGGAGAAGGGGAGAAAUAUGACGCUAGAGCUCUUGCAGCAGUUUCUUUCCUGGACUGUAAGCUCGCAUGGCAUUCCCAACUUACAUGGAACUCUAAAAGACGCAGCAGAUAAAGGCAAGAGGUAAGAAGUUACUUGGUCUCCCUUCCCCCACGGCCCUGAGUAUCCCCAAAGAGCUAAAAGCUCAAGGGAACAGUUUGAAAUCACGAGGCUAGAUAACCUUUUGGGUUCUUUCCAAGUCUUACUUCUGCCACUAGGAGUAAGACUGAGGUAGAAAAGGUUUGUAUCCAUUUUACAGCCUGUGAACCCCUGUAUGUAAUUUUAUACAGACCUACACAGCACACAGCAUUCAGCUAAUACAGAAUAUAGAAUACUGCCACACCACAUGUGGCAAGCACCCUUUGAAUUUCAACAUAUAUUUUAGAUUAAAAAAUAAAAUAAGAAAACCAUUACCAGAAGGUACUCUUCUCUCAGUCACUUUAUGGAUACACUUCAAAAUAUAGACUUGAUGGUGAAUUAAAAUUGAAUGCAAAUAUUGUCACUGAGAAGUUGUCCAUUUAUACAGUUUUCUAAGACUCUUUUAGUUUUUAAUGGGCAAGGUUUUGCUAAAAACAAGAAGUGUUAAUUACAUAAAUAUGCGUAUUCUUUUCAAAGCAUUACACUAUAUUAUGGUUAAAAAACAAUAGAGAAGUGAAUGCAGAAAUACUUCAACAGAAAUACUGUUUCUUGAACAGCCUUUAAAAUUAUGACAUGUUUAUUGGGAGAAUACAUUACUCACGACAGGGUUACAAAAGCAAUAUUAACCUUGAAAUUUAAUAGCAAAGUCAGACAUUAAAGAUCAGUACCACACGUGGUGACAGAGGUACUUUUGUUUAGAUUGUACAUAGGAUAAGACAGAUAUUUAAUGCUACAUUAAGAUGUAGGUAAAUAAAGGGUCCUUUAGAAGAUUCAUAACACAUGCAUCAUGAUUUUUAGCAGAUUGUGC